AUAGGAACUUCGGCAAUGGACGAAAGUCUGACGAGCACGCCGCGUGAGUGAAGAAGGUUUUCGGAUCGUAAAACUCUGUUGUUUAGAGAAGAACAAGGACGUUAGUAACUGAACGUCCCCUGACGGUAUCUAACCAGAAAGCCACGGCUAACUACGUGCAGGCAGCCGCGGUAAUACGUAGGUGGCAAGCGUUGUCCGGAUUUAUUGGGCGUAAAGCGACGCGCAGGCGGUUUCUUAAGUCUGAUGGAAACGCCCCCGGCUCAACCGGGGAGGGUCAUUGGAAACUGGGAGACUUGAGGCAGAAGAGGAGAGUGGAAUUCCAUGUGUAGCGGUGAAAUGCGUAGAUAUAUGGAGGAACACCAGUGGCGAAGGCGGCUCUCUGGU
rnacentral:rRNA from 1 species